rnacentral:lncRNA from 1 species
CUUAAGUUUCCCUGGCAACUUUCUCCUGGGGAUCCAUCUUUAUUUUUAACUUUUUUUUUUUAUCGUUAACGAGUCCCAUCGGUUUUUCUAGCAGCCGUGGAACUAGUUUCCCGACUCGGUGUCUUCCCAACUUGGGAGGGAUCUGGGCGGCGGCAGUCAUCGUUUACCAGAUCAAAUUCUAUCAGCAGCCCGACUGGUGCUCAGUGUUUGAUAAGAACGGGACCGGUGAGUGGGCGAUUAUACACCCGACCUUUUAAUAUUCACCUUGUACUCCCCUCCUCCCCCAGCGCUUAGAACAGUGCUUUGCACAUAGUAAGCGCUUAACAAAUACCACCAUUAUCAUUUCACGCCGAGCCCCGCCGUUUCUGUCUCUUGUGAGCCCGUUAUUGGGCAGGGAUUGUCUCUUUCUGUUGCCGAAUUGUACAUUCCAAGCGCUUAGUACAGUGCUCUGUACAUAGUAAGCGCUCAAUAAAUACUAUUGAAUGAAUGAAUUUCCCACGUGCUUUAGGGGCCCCCAUGGAUCAGGCGCUGCCUAGGCACGAAGCACUUGUAACUAAAAUCCAGUGGGAGACCUUGGUGCUUUCCAGCUGAUCGAUAUCUUAUCCUGAUUAAAUGUACUCAUUUUCAGUUGGCCCUUGGAUUCAACACAGCUUUAAGGUGCUCAGAGAGCAGGAGCCAGGACUAGAAUAUUGUAAUUCCUCACUGUAUUAUAGUCCUGUACAAGAUUCUACGCUGCGGGUCUGGUAAAUUCUGUAGAUGACGAUGAUGGAAGAAGGCACCUGUUCUGGGGGCUUAUCUGGAAGAUUGUACCGUAAGCUCCUUGAGGACAGAGAACAUGUCACCCAACUCCGUUGCAUUGAAUUCUCCC